rnacentral:rRNA from 1 species
UACGGGGGGUGCGAGCGUUGUCCGGAAUCACUGGGCGUAAAGGGCGCGUAGGUGGCGUGAUAAGGGUGUGGUGAAAGCCCGGGGCUCAACCCCGGGUCUGCCAUGCCGACUGUCAGGCUCGAGUGCUGUAGGGGCAGGCGGAAUUCCGGGUGUAGCGGUGGAAUGCGUAGAGAUCCGGAGGAAGACCGGUGGCGAAGGCGGCCUGCUGGGCAGUUACUGACACUGAGGCGCGACAGCUAGGGGAGCAAACAGG